AAUGUGAAGCAUCAUAAUUCUCCAUCUGCCAUCUAUAACUGAUCUUUUAAUAAAAAGUUUCAAAUCAGAGACCUGUCCCAAAGUGCCUGAACCAAAGGAAUCUUCCGGGGACUUGCAAGGGCUCCUGUUCACUUAUGAAACGCACCAAUGUUACCCCUUCUGUGAUGAACUCCCUGAAUCCUCCAGGCGCCUUUUUACACUGUGAAACAUGAAAGGGGGCCAACCAUGUCCUGGUUCUCUGAUCCUGACCAUUAAAGACAAUGCCCCAAACUAGUAUUCAUGGAAAAUGUGGCACCUCAAUGGUACCUUAAAUGAUAGUAAGAGUUUUGAAUUCAAUAAGACAAAGAGAAGGAGAGAGGAGUUAGAAGGCAAAAGUAUUUGAGUAUGCAGGUGAUGGGAGUGAUGGAUAGACAUCCAGACAAAAGAUAACAGCUUGAACAAAGACAGGGAAGCAAAAAUGCAAAAAAAAAAAAUUAUCUGGAAACUGAGCUCAGUUUGGGUUUGUA